rnacentral:rRNA from 1 species
AGCCUCUAAGCAUCAGGUAACAUCAAAUCGUACCCCAAACCGACACAGGUGGUCAGGUAGAGAAUACCAAGGCGCUUGAGAGAACUCGGGUGAAGGAACUAGGCAAAAUGGUGCCGUAACUUCGGGAGAAGGCACGCUGACACGUAGGUGAAGUGAUUUACUCACGGAGCUGAAGUCAGCCGAAGAUACCAGCUGGCUGCAACUGUUUAUUAAAAACACAGCACUGUGCAAACACGAAAGUGGACGUAUACGGUGUGACGCCUGCCCGGUGCCGGAAGGUUAAUUGAUGGGGUCAGCGCAAGCGAAGCUCCUGAUCGAAGCCCCGGUAAACGGCGGCCGUAACUAUAACGGUCCUAAGGUAGCGAAAUUCCUUGUCGGGUAAGUUCCGACCUGCACGAAUGGCGUAAUGAUGGCCAGGCUGUCUCCACCCGAGACUCAGUGAAAUUGAACUCGCUGUGAAGAUGCAGUGUACCCGCGGCAAGACGGAAAGACCCCGUGAACCUUUACUAUAGCUUGACACUGAACAUUGAGCCUUGAUGUGUAGGAUAGGUGGGAGGCUUUGAAGUGUGGACGCCAGUCUGCAUGGAGCCGACCUUGAAAUACCACCCUUUAAUGUUUGAUGUUCUAACGUGGACCCGUGAUCCGGGUUGCGGACAGUGUCUGGUGGGUAGUUUGACUGGGGCGGUCUCCUCCUAAAGAGUAACGGAGGAGCACGAAGGUUGGCUAAUCCUGGUCGGACAUCAGGAGGUUAGUGCAAUGGCAUAAGCCAGCUUGACUGCGAGCGUGACGGCGCGAGCAGGUGCGAAAGCAGGUCAUAGUGAUCCGGUGGUUCUGAAUGGAAGGGCCAUCGCUCAACGGAUAAAAGGUACUCCGGGGAUAACAGGCUGAUACCGCCCAAGAGUUCAUAUCGACGGCGGUGUUUGGCACCUCGAUGUCGGCUCAUCACAUCCUGGGGCUGAAGUAGGUCCCAAGGGUAUGGCUGUUCGCCAUUUAAAGUGGUACGCGAGCUGGGUUUAGAACGUCGUGAGACAGUUCGGUCCCUAUCUGCCGUGGGCGCUGGAGAACUGAGGGGGGCUGCUCCUAGUACGAGAGGACCGGAGUGGACGCAUCACUGGUGUUCGGGUUGUCAUGCCAAUGGCACUGCCCGGUAGCUAAAUGCGGAAGAGAUAAGUGCUGAAAGCAUCUAAGCACGAAACUUGCCCCGAGAUGAGUUCUCCCUGAGACUUUAGGUCUCCUGAAGGAACGUUGAAGACGACGACGUUGAUAGGCCGGGUGUGUAAGCGCAGCGAUGCGUUGAGCUAACCGGUACUAAUGAACCGUGAGGCUUAACCUUACAACGCCGAAG